rnacentral:rRNA from 1 species
UACGUAGGGUGCAAGCGUUGUCCGGAAUUAUUGGGCGUAAAGAGCUCGUAGGCGGUUUGUCGCGUCGGCUGUGAAAUCCCGAGGCUCAACCUCGGGCCUGCAGUCGAUACGGGCAAACUAGAGUGUGGUAGGGGAGACUGGAAUUCCUGGUGUAGCGGUGAAAUGCGCAGAUAUCAGGAGGAACACCGGCGGCGAAGGCGGGUCUCUGGGCAGUAACUGACGCUGAGGAGCGAAAGCGUGGGGAGCGAACAGG